rnacentral:lncRNA from 1 species
GAGGCUAGGAUAUCGGUCUUUGGGGAGCCUGGUCUUUUGCUUGGACAAAUGCAAGUGCACUUGGAGAUUAGGCUGAACAUAAAAUGAAAGAAAAAGUCGAAAAGCACAAAGAGCGGGAGGACUGAGAUCUUGUCCUAAAGUGGAGCAAAGGAGUGGAGCAUGAUGGACUGCAGAGAUAGGCUGUAAAACUAAGCUUGACUGCGUAUCCGGGUGUUUUCUUGAGCGCCGCAUUGUUCACUGAAAGUGAAAUGCUGAUUCUAAUUGAGAGAAGCACACAGGAGCAUGUUCAAAUAGCUCAUUUGGAGCCUGUGUCAUCGCUUACGGCCAUACCACCCUGAACACGCCCGAUCUCGUCCGAUCUCGGAAGCUAAGCAGGAUCGGGCCUGGUUAGUACUUGGAUGGGAGACCGCCUGGGAAUACCAGGUGCUGUAAGCUUUUCUCUUCUUUUCUUGCAUCUUUUUGCCAUGUUCUCUCUCCAAGAGGCUAGGAUAUCGGUCUUUGGGGAGCCUGGUCUUUUGCUUGGACAAAUGCAAGUGCACUUGGAGAUUAGGCUGAACAUAAAAUGAAAGAAAAAGUCAAAAAGCACAAAGAGCGGGAGGACUGAGAUCUUGUCCUAAAAUGGAGCAAAGGAGUGGAGCAUGAUGGACUGCAGAGAUAGGCUGUAAAACUAAGCUUGACUGCGUAUCCGGGUGUUUUCUUGAGCGCCGCAUUGUUCACUGAAAGUGAAAUGCUGAUUCUAAUUGAGAGAAGCACACAGGAGCAUGUUCAAAUAGCUCAUUUGGAGCCUGUGUCAUCGCUUACGGCCAUACCACCCUGAACACGCCCGAUCUCGUCCGAUCUCGGAAGCUAAGCAGGGUCGGGCCUGGUUAGUACUUGGAUGGGAGACCGCCUGGGAAUACCAGGUGCUGUAAGCUUUUCUCUUCUUUUCUUGCAUCUUUUUGCCGUGUUCUCUCUCCAAGAGGCUAGGAUAUCGGUCUUUGGGGAGCCUGGUCUUUUGCUUGGACAAAUGCAAGUACACUUGGAGAUUAGGCUGAACAUAAAAUGAAAGAAAAAGUCAAAAAGCACAAAGAGCGGGAGGACUGAGAUCUUGUUCUAAAGUGGAGCAAAGGAGUGGAGCAUGAUGGACUGCAGAGAUAGGCUGUAAAACUAAGCUUGACUGCGUAUCCGGGUGUUUUCUUGAGCGCUGCAUUGUUCACUGAAAGUGAAAUGCUGAUUCUAAUUGAGAGAAGCACACAGGAGCAUGUUCAAAUAGCUCAUUUGGAGCCUGUGUCAUCGCUUACGGCCAUACCACCCUGAACACGCCCGAUCUCGUCCGAUCUCGGAUCUAAGCAGGGUCGGGCCUGGUUAGUACUUGGAUGGGAGACCGCCUGGGAAUACCAGGUGCUGUAAGCUUUUCUCUUCUUUUCUUGCAUCUUUUUGCCGUGUUCUCUCUCCAAGAGGCUAGGAUAUCGGUCUUUGGGGAGCCUGGUCUUUUGCUUGGACAAAUGCAAGUGCACUUGGAGAUUAGGCUGAACAUAAAAUGAAAGAAAAAGUCGAAAAGCACAAAGAGCGGGAGGACUGAGAUCUUGUUCUAAAGUGGAGCAAAGGAGUGGAGCAUGAUGGACUGCAGAGAUAGGCUGUAAAACUAAGCUUGACUGCGUAUCCGGGUGUUUUCUUGAGCGCCGCAUUGUUCACUGAAAGUGAAAUGCUGAUUCUAAUUGAGAGAAGCACACAGGAGCAUGUUCAAAUAGCUCAUUUGGAGCCUGUGUCAUCGCUUACGGCCAUACCACCCUGAACACGCCUGAUCUCGGAAGCUAAGCAGGGUCGGGCCUGGUUAGUACUUGGAUGGGAGACCGCCUGGGAAUACCAGGUGCUGUAAGCUUUUCUCUUCUUUUCUUGCAUCUUUUUGCCGUGUUCUCUCUCCAAGAGGCUAGGAUAUCGGUCUUUGGGGAGCCUGGUCUUUUGCUUGGACAAAUGCAAGUACACUUGGAGAUUAGGCUGAACAUAAAAUGAAAGAAAAAGUCAAAAAGCACAAAGAGCGGGAGGACUGAGAUCUUGUUCUAAAGUGGAGCAAAGGAGUGGAGCAUGAUGGACUGCAGAGAUAGGCUGUAAAACUAAGCUUGACUGCGUAUCCGGGUGUUUUCUUGAGCGCCGCAUUGUUCACUGAAAGUGAAAUGCUGAUUCUAAUUGAGAGAAGCACACAGGAGCAAGUUCAAAUAGCUCAUUUGGAGCCUGUGUCAUCGCUUACGGCCAUACCACCCUGAACACGCCCGAUCUCGUCCGAUCUCGGAAGCUAAGCAGGGUCGGGCCUGGUUAGUACUUGGAUGGGAGACCGCCUGGGAAUACCAGGUGCUGUAAGCUUUUCUCUUCUUUUCUUGCAUCUUUUUGCCGUGUUCUCUCUCCAAGAGGCUAGGAUAUCGGUCUUUGGGGAGCCUGGUCUUUUGCUUGGACAAAUGCAAGUACACUUGGAGAUUAGGCUGAACAUAAAAUGAAAGAAAAAGUCGAAAAGCACAAAGAGCGGGAGGACUGAGAUCUUGUUCUAAAGUGGAGCAAAGGAGUGGAGCAUGAUGGACUGCAGAGAUAGGCUGUAAAACUAAGCUUGACUGCGUAUCCGGGUGUUUUCUUGAGCGCCGCAUUGUUCACUGAAAGUGAAAUGCUGAUUCUAAUUGAGAGAAGCACACAGGAGCAUGUUCAAAUAGCUCAUUUGGAGCCUGUGUCAUCGCUUACGGCCAUACCACCCUGAACACGCCUGAUCUCGGAAGCUAAGCAGGGUCGGGCCUGGUUAGUACUUGGAUGGGAGACCGCCUGGGAAUACCAGGUGCUGUAAGCUUUUCUCUUCUUUUCUUGCAUCUUUUUGCCGUGUUCUCUCUCCAAGAGGCUAGGAUAUCGGUCUUUGGGGAGCCUGGUCUUUUGCUUGGACAAAUGCAAGUGCACUUGGAGAUUAGGCUGAACAUAAAAUGAAAGAAAAAGUCGAAAAGCACAAAGAGCGGGAGGACUGAGAUCUUGUCCUAAAGUGGAGCAAAGGAGUGGAGCAUGAUGGACUGCAGAGAUAGGCUGUAAAACUAAGCUUGACUGCGUAUCCGGGUGUUUUCUUGAGCGCCGCAUUGUUCACUGAAAGUGAAAUGCUGAUUCUAAUUGAGAGAAGCACACAGGAGCAUGUUCAAAUAGCUCAUUUGGAGCCUGUGUCAUCGCUUACGGCCAUACCACCCUGAACACGCCCGAUCUCGUCCGAUCUCGGAAGCUAAGCAGGGUCGGGCCUGGUUAGUACUUGGAUGGGAGACCGCCUGGGAAUACCAGGUGCUGUAAGCUUUUCUCUUCUUUUCUUGCAUCUUUUUGCCGUGUUCUCUCUCCAAGAGGCUAGGAUAUCGGUCUUUGGGGAGCCUGGUCUUUUGCUUGGACAAAUGCAAGUGCACUUGGAGAUUAGGCUGAACAUAAAAUGAAAGAAAAAGUCAAAAAGCACAAAGAGCGGGAGGACUGAGAUCUUGUCCUAAAGUGGAGCAAAGGAGUGGAGCAUGAUGGACUGCAGAGAUAGGCUGUAAAACUAAGCUUGACUGCGUAUCCGGGUGUUUUCUUGAGCGCCGCAUUGUUCACUGAAAGUGAAAUGCUGAUUCUAAUUGAGAGAAGCACACAGGAGCAUGUUCAAAUAGCUCAUUUGGAGCCUGUGUCAUCGCUUACGGCCAUACCACCCUGAACACGCCCGAUCUCGUCUGAUCUCGGAAGCUAAGCAGGGUCGGGCCUGGUUAGUACUUGGAUGGGAGACCGCCUGGGAAUACCAGGUGCUGUAAGCUUUUCUCUUCUUUUCUUGCAUCUUUUUGCCGUGUUCUCUCUCCAAGAGGCUAGGAUAUCGGUCUUUGGGGAGCCUGGUCUUUUGCUUGGACAAAUGCAAGUACACUUGGAGAUUAGGCUGAACAUAAAAUGAAAGAAAAAGUCAAAAAGCACAAAGAGCGGGAGGACUGAGAUCUUGUCCUAAAGUGGAGCAAAGGAGUGGAGCAUGAUGGACUGCAGAGAUAGGCUGUAAAACUAAGCUUGACUGCGUAUCCGGGUGUUUUCUUGAGCGCCGCAUUGUUCACUGAAAGUGAAAUGCUGAUUCUAAUUGAGAGAAGCACACAGGAGCAUGUUCAAAUAGCUCAUUUGGAGCCUGUGUCAUCGCUUACGGCCAUACCACCCUGAACACGCCCGAUCUCGUCCGAUCUCGGAAGCUAAGCAGGGUCGGGCCUGGUUAGUACUUGGAUGGGAGACCGCCUGGGAAUACCAGGUGCUGUAAGCUUUUCUCUUCUUUUCUUGCAUCUUUUUGCCGUGUUCUCUCUCCAAGAGGCUAGGAUAUCGGUCUUUGGGGAGCCUGGUCUUUUGCUUGGACAAAUGCAAGUGCACUUGGAGAUUAGGCUGAACAUAAAAUGAAAGAAAAAGUCGAAAAGCACAAAGAGCGGGAGGACUGAGAUCUUGUCCUAAAGAGGAGCAAAGGAGUGGAGCAUGAUGGACUGCAGAGAUAGGCUGUAAAACUAAGCUUGACUGCGUAUCCGGGUGUUUUCUUGAGCGCCGCAUUGUUCACUGAAAGUGAAAUGCUGAUUCUAAUUGAGAGAAGCACACAGGAGCAUGUUCAAAUAGCUCAUUUGGAGCCUGUGUCAUCGCUUACGGCCAUACCACCCUGAACACGCCCGAUCUCGUCCGAUCUCGGAAGCUAAGCAGGGUCGGGCCUGGUUAGUACUUGGAUGGGAGACCGCCUGGGAAUACCAGGUGCUGUAAGCUUUUCUCUUCUUUUCUUGCAUCUUUUUGCCGUGUUCUCUCUCCAAGAGGCUAGGAUAUCGGUCUUUGGGGAGCCUGGUCUUUUGCUUGGACAAAUGCAAGUGCACUUGGAGAUUAGGCUGAACAUAAAAUGAAAGAAAAAGUCAAAAAGCACAAAGAGCGGGAGGACUGAGAUCUUGUCCUAAAGUGGAGCAAAGGAGUGGAGCAUGUUGGACUGCAGAGAUAGGCUGUAAAACUAAGCUUGACUGCGUAUCCGGGUGUUUUCUUGAGCGCCGCAUUGUUCACUGAAAGUGAAAUGCUGAUUCUAAUUGAGAGAAGCACACAGGAGCAUGUUCAAAUAGCUCAUUUGGAGCCUGUGUCAUCGCUUACGGCCAUACCACCCUGAACACGCCCGAUCUCGUCUGAUCUCGGAAGCUAAGCAGGGUCGGGCCUGGUUAGUACUUGGAUGGGAGACCGCCUGGGAAUACCAGGUGCUGUAAGCUUUUCUCUUCUUUUCUUGCAUCUUUUUGCCGUGUUCUCUCUCCAAGAGGCUAGGAUAUCGGUCUUUGGGGAGCCUGGUCUUUUGCUUGGACAAAUGCAAGUGCACUUGGAGAUUAGGCUGAACAUAAAAUGAAAGAAAAAGUCGAAAAGCACAAAGAGCGGGAGGACUGAGAUCUUGUCCUAAAGUGGAGCAAAGGAGUGGAGCAUGAUGGACUGCAGAGAUAGGCUGUAAAACUAAGCUUGACUGCGUAUCCGGGUGUUUUCUUGAGCGCCGCAUUGUUCACUGAAAGUGAAAUGCUGAUUCUAAUUGAGAGAAGCACACAGGAGCAUGUUCAAAUAGCUCAUUUGGAGCCUGUGUCAUCGCUUACGGCCAUACCACCCUGAACACGCCCGAUCUCGUCCGAUCUCGGAAGCUAAGCAGGGUCGGGCCUGGUUAGUACUUGGAUGGGAGACCGCCUGGGAAUACCAGGUGCUGUAAGCUUUUCUCUUCUUUUCUUGCAUCUUUUUGCCGUGUUCUCUCUCCAAGAGGCUAGGAUAUCGGUCUUUGGGGAGCCUGGUCUUUUGCUUGGACAAAUGCAAGUGCACUUGGAGAUUAGGCUGAACAUAAAAUGAAAGAAAAAGUCAAAAAGCACAAAGAGCGGGAGGACUGAGAUCUUGUCCUAAAGUGGAGCAAAGGAGUGGAGCAUGUUGGACUGCAGAGAUAGGCUGUAAAACUAAGCUUGACUGCGUAUCCGGGUGUUUUCUUGAGCGCCGCAUUGUUCACUGAAAGUGAAAUGCUGAUUCUAAUUGAGAGAAGCACACAGGAGCAUGUUCAAAUAGCUCAUUUGGAGCCUGUGUCAUCGCUUACGGCCAUACCACCCUGAACACGCCCGAUCUCGUCCGAUCUCGGAAGCUAAGCAGGGUCGGGCCUGGUUAGUACUUGGAUGGGAGACCGCCUGGGAAUACCAGGUGCUGUAAGCUUUUCUCUUCUUUUCUUGCAUCUUUUUGCCGUGUUCUCUCUCCAAGAGGCUAGGAUAUCGGUCUUUGGGGAGCCUGGUCUUUUGCUUGGACAAAUGCAAGUGCACUUGGAGAUUAGGCUGAACAUAAAAUGAAAGAAAAAGUCAAAAAGCACAAAGAGCGGGAGGACUGAGAUCUUGUCCUAAAGUGGAGCAAAGGAGUGGAGCAUGAUGGACUGCAGAGAUAGGCUGUAAAACUAAGCUUGACUGCGUAUCCGGGUGUUUUCUUGAGCGCCGCAUUGUUCACUGAAAGUGAAAUGCUGAUUCUAAUUGAGAGAAGCACACAGGAGCAUGUUCAAAUAGCUCAUUUGGAGCCUGUGUCAUCGCUUACGGCCAUACCACCCUGAACACGCCCGAUCUCGUCCGAUCUCGGAAGCUAAGCAGGGUCGGGCCUGGUUAGUACUUGGAUGGGAGACCGCCUGGGAAUACCAGGUGCUGUAAGCUUUUCUCUUCUUUUCUUGCAUCUUUUUGCCGUGUUCUCUCUCCAAGAGGCUAGGAUAUCGGUCUUUGGGGAGCCUGGUCUUUUGCUUGGACAAAUGCAAGUGCACUUGGAGAUUAGGCUGAACAUAAAAUGAAAGAAAAAGUCGAAAAGCACAAAGAGCGGGAGGACUGAGAUCUUGUCCUAAAGUGGAGCAAAGGAGUGGAGCAUGAUGGACUGCAGAGAUAGGCUGUAAAACUAAGCUUGACUGCGUAUCCGGGUGUUUUCUUGAGCGCCGCAUUGUUCACUGAAAGUGAAAUGCUGAUUCUAAUUGAGAGAAGCACACAGGAGCAUGUUCAAAUAGCUCAUUUGGAGCCUGUGUCAUCGCUUACGGCCAUACCACCCUGAACACGCCCGAUCUCGUCCGAUCUCGGAAGCUAAGCAGGGUCGGGCCUGGUUAGUACUUGGAUGGGAGACCGCCUGGGAAUACCAGGUGCUGUAAGCUUUUCUCUUCUUUUCUUGCAUCUUUUUGCCGUGUUCUCUCUCCAAGAGGCUAGGAUAUCGGUCUUUGGGGAGCCUGGUCUUUUGCUUGGACAAAUGCAAGUGCACUUGGAGAUUAGGCUGAACAUAAAAUGAAAGAAAAAGUCAAAAAGCACAAAGAGCGGGAGGACUGAGAUCUUGUCCUAAAGUGGAGCAAAGGAGUGGAGCAUGAUGGACUGCAGAGAUAGGCUGUAAAACUAAGCUUGACUGCGUAUCCGGGUGUUUUCUUGAGCGCCGCAUUGUUCACUGAAAGUGAAAUGCUGAUUCUAAUUGAGAGAAGCACACAGGAGCAUGUUCAAAUAGCUCAUUUGGAGCCUGUGUCAUCGCUUACGGCCAUACCACCCUGAACACGCCCGAUCUCGUCCGAUCUCGGAAGCUAAGCAGGGUCGGGCCUGGUUAGUACUUGGAUGGGAGACCGCCUGGGAAUACCAGGUGCUGUAAGCUUUUCUCUUCUUUUCUUGCAUCUUUUUGCCGUGUUCUCUCUCCAAGAGGCUAGGAUAUCGGUCUUUGGGGAGCCUGGUCUUUUGCUUGGACAAAUGCAAGUGCACUUGGAGAUUAGGCUGAACAUAAAAUGAAAGAAAAAGUCGAAAAGCACAAAGAGCGGGAGGACUGAGAUCUUGUCCUAAAGUGGAGCAAAGGAGUGGAGCAUGAUGGACUGCAGAGAUAGGCUGUAAAACUAAGCUUGACUGCGUAUCCGGGUGUUUUCUUGAGCGCCGCAUUGUUCACUGAAAGUGAAAUGCUGAUUCUAAUUGAGAGAAGCACACAGGAGCAUGUUCAAAUAGCUCAUUUGGAGCCUGUGUCAUCGCUUACGGCCAUACCACCCUGAACACGCCCGAUCUCGUCCGAUCUCGGAAGCUAAGCAGGGUCGGGCCUGGUUAGUACUUGGAUGGGAGACCGCCUGGGAAUACCAGGUGCUGUAAGCUUUUCUCUUCUUUUCUUGCAUCUUUUUGCCGUGUUCUCUCUCCAAGAGGCUAGGAUAUCGGUCUUUGGGGAGCCUGGUCUUUUGCUUGGACAAAUGCAAGUGCACUUGGAGAUUAGGCUGAACAUAAAAUGAAAGAAAAAGUCAAAAAGCACAAAGAGCGGGAGGACUGAGAUCUUGUCCUAAAGUGGAGCAAAGGAGUGGAGCAUGAUGGACUGCAGAGAUAGGCUGUAAAACUAAGCUUGACUGCGUAUCCGGGUGUUUUCUUGAGCGCCGCAUUGUUCACUGAAAGUGAAAUGCUGAUUCUAAUUGAGAGAAGCACACAGGAGCAUGUUCAAAUAGCUCAUUUGGAGCCUGUGUCAUCGCUUACGGCCAUACCACCCUGAACACGCCCGAUCUCGUCCGAUCUCGGAAGCUAAGCAGGGUCGGGCCUGGUUAGUACUUGGAUGGGAGACCGCCUGGGAAUACCAGGUGCUGUAAGCUUUUCUCUUCUUUUCUUGCAUCUUUUUGCCGUGUUCUCUCUCCAAGAGGCUAGGAUAUCGGUCUUUGGGGAGCCUGGUCUUUUGCUUGGACAAAUGCAAGUGCACUUGGAGAUUAGGCUGAACAUAAAAUGAAAGAAAAAGUCAAAAAGCACAAAGAGCGGGAGGACUGAGAUCUUGUCCUAAAGUGGAGCAAAGGAGUGGAGCAUGAUGGACUGCAGAGAUAGGCUGUAAAACUAAGCUUGACUGCGUAUCCGGGUGUUUUCUUGAGCGCCGCAUUGUUCACUGAAAGUGAAAUGCUGAUUCUAAUUGAGAGAAGCACACAGGAGCAUGUUCAAAUAGCUCAUUUGGAGCCUGUGUCAUCGCUUACGGCCAUACCACCCUGAACACGCCCGAUCUCGUCCGAUCUCGGAAGCUAAGCAGGGUCGGGCCUGGUUAGUACUUGGAUGGGAGACCGCCUGGGAAUACCAGGUGCUGUAAGCUUUUCUCUUCUUUUCUUGCAUCUUUUUGCCGUGUUCUCUCUCCAAGAGGCUAGGAUAUCGGUCUUUGGGGAGCCUGGUCUUUUGCUUGGACAAAUGCAAGUGCACUUGGAGAUUAGGCUGAACAUAAAAUGAAAGAAAAAGUCAAAAAGCACAAAGAGCGGGAGGACUGAGAUCUUGUCCUAAAGUGGAGCAAAGGAGUGGAGCAUGAUGGACUGCAGAGAUAGGCUGCAAAACUAAGCUUGACUGCGUAUCCGGGUGUUUUCUUGAGCGCCGCAUUGUUCACUGAAAGUGAAAUGCUGAUUCUAAUUGAGAGAAGCACACAGGAGCAUGUUCAAAUAGCUCAUUUGGAGCCUGUGUCAUCGCUUACGGCCAUACCACCCUGAACACGCCUGAUCUCGGAAGCUAAGCAGGGUCGGGCCUGGUUAGUACUUGGAUGGGAGACCGCCUGGGAAUACCAGGUGCUGUAAGCUUUUCUCUUCUUUUCUUGCAUCUUUUUGCCGUGUUCUCUCUCCAAGAGGCUAGGAUAUCGGUCUUUGGGGAGCCUGGUCUUUUGCUUGGACAAAUGCAAGUGCACUUGGAGAUUAGGCUGAACAUAAAAUGAAAGAAAAAGUCAAAAAGCACAAAGAGCGGGAGGACUGAGAUCUUGUCCUAAAGUGGAGCAAAGGAGUGGAGCAUGAUGGACUGCAGAGAUAGGCUGUAAAACUAAGCUUGACUGCGUAUCCGGGUGUUUUCUUGAGCGCCGCAUUGUUCACUGAAAGUGAAAUGCUGAUUCUAAUUGAGAGAAGCACACAGGAGCAUGUUCAAAUAGCUCAUUUGGAGCCUGUGUCAUCGCUUACGGCCAUACCACCCUGAACACGCCCGAUCUCGUCCGAUCUCGGAAGCUAAGCAGGGUCGGGCCUGGUUAGUACUUGGAUGGGAGACCGCCUGGGAAUACCAGGUGCUGUAAGCUUUUCUCUUCUUUUCUUGCAUCUUUUUGCCGUGUUCUCUCUCCAAGAGGCUAGGAUAUCGGUCUUUGGGGAGCCUGGUCUUUUGCUUGGACAAAUGCAAGUGCACUUGGAGAUUAGGCUGAACAUAAAAUGAAAGAAAAAGUCGAAAAGCACAAAGAGCGGGAGGACUGAGAUCUUGUCCUAAAGUGGAGCAAAGGAGUGGAGCAUGAUGGACUGCAGAGAUAGGCUGUAAAACUAAGCUUGACUGCGUAUCCGGGUGUUUUCUUGAGCGCCGCAUUGUUCACUGAAAGUGAAAUGCUGAUUCUAAUUGAGAGAAGCACACAGGAGCAAGUUCAAAUAGCUCAUUUGGAGCCUGUGUCAUCGCUUACGGCCAUACCACCCUGAACACGCCCGAUCUCGUCCGAUCUCGGAAGCUAAGCAGGGUCGGGCCUGGUUAGUACUUGGAUGGGAGACCGCCUGGGAAUACCAGGUGCUGUAAGCUUUUCUCUUCUUUUCUUGCAUCUUUUUGCCGUGUUCUCUCUCCAAGAGGCUAGGAUAUCGGUCUAUGGGGAGCCUGGUCUUUUGCUUGGACAAAUGCAAGUGCACUUGGAGAUUAGGCUGAACAUAAAAUGAAAGAAAAAGUCGAAAAGCACAAAGAGCGGGAGGACUGAGAUCUUGUCCUAAAGUGGAGCAAAGGAGUGGAGCAUGAUGGACUGCAGAGAUAGGCUGUAAAACUAAGCUUGACUGCGUAUCCGGGUGUUUUCUUGAGCGCCGCAUUGUUCACUGAAAGUGAAAUGCUGAUUCUAAUUGAGAGAAGCACACAGGAGCAUGUUCAAAUAGCUCAUUUGGAGCCUGUGUCAUCGCUUACGGCCAUACCACCCUGAACACGCCCGAUCUCGUCCGAUCUCGGAAGCUAAGCAGGGUCGGGCCUGGUUAGUACUUGGAUGGGAGACCGCCUGGGAAUACCAGGUGCUGUAAGCUUUUCUCUUCUUUUCUUGCAUCUUUUUGCCGUGUUCUCUCUCCAAGAGGCUAGGAUAUCGGUCUUUGGGGAGCCUGGUCUUUUGCUUGGACAAAUGCAAGUGCACUUGGAGAUUAGGCUGAACAUAAAAUGAAAGAAAAAGUCAAAAAGCACAAAGAGCGGGAGGACUGAGAUCUUGUCCUAAAGUGGAGCAAAGGAGUGGAGCAUGAUGGACUGCAGAGAUAGGCUGUAAAACUAAGCUUGACUGCGUAUCCGGGUGUUUUCUUGAGCGCCGCAUUGUUCACUGAAAGUGAAAUGCUGAUUCUAAUUGAGAGAAGCACACAGGAGCAUGUUCAAAUAGCUCAUUUGGAGCCUGUGUCAUCGCUUACGGCCAUACCACCCUGAACACGCCCGAUCUCGUCCGAUCUCGGAAGCUAAGCAGGGUCGGGCCUGGUUAGUACUUGGAUGGGAGACCGCCUGGGAAUACCAGGUGCUGUAAGCUUUUCUCUUCUUUUCUUGCAUCUUUUUGCCGUGUUCUCUCUCCAAGAGGCUAGGAUAUCGGUCUUUGGGGAGCCUGGUCUUUUGCUUGGACAAAUGCAAGUGCACUUGGAGAUUAGGCUGAACAUAAAAUGAAAGAAAAAGUCGAAAAGCACAAAGAGCGGGAGGACUGAGAUCUUGUCCUAAAGUGGAGCAAAGGAGUGGAGCAUGAUGGACUGCAGAGAUAGGCUGUAAAACUAAGCUUGACUGCGUAUCCGGGUGUUUUCUUGAGCGCCGCAUUGUUCACUGAAAGUGAAAUGCUGAUUCUAAUUGAGAGAAGCACACAGGAGCAUGUUCAAAUAGCUCAUUUGGAGCCUGUGUCAUCGCUUACGGCCAUACCACCCUGAACACGCCCGAUCUCGUCCGAUCUCGGAAGCUAAGCAGGGUCGGGCCUGGUUAGUACUUGGAUGGGAGACCGCCUGGGAAUACCAGGUGCUGUAAGCUUUUCUCUUCUUUUCUUGCAUCUUUUUGCCGUGUUCUCUCUCCAAGAGGCUAGGAUAUCGGUCUUUGGGGAGCCUGGUCUUUUGCUUGGACAAAUGCAAGUGCACUUGGAGAUUAGGCUGAACAUAAAAUGAAAGAAAAAGUCAAAAAGCACAAAGAGCGGGAGGACUGAGAUCUUGUCCUAAAGUGGAGCAAAGGAGUGGAGCAUGAUGGACUGCAGAGAUAGGCUGUAAAACUAAGCUUGACUGCGUAUCCGGGUGUUUUCUUGAGCGCCGCAUUGUUCACUGAAAGUGAAAUGCUGAUUCUAAUUGAGAGAAGCACACAGGAGCAUGUUCAAAUAGCUCAUUUGGAGCCUGUGUCAUCGCUUACGGCCAUACCACCCUGAACACGCCCGAUCUCGUCCGAUCUCGGAAGCUAAGCAGGGUCGGGCCUGGUUAGUACUUGGAUGGGAGACCGCCUGGGAAUACCAGGUGCUGUAAGCUUUUCUCUUCUUUUCUUGCAUCUUUUUGCCGUGUUCUCUCUCCAAGAGGCUAGGAUAUCGGUCUUUGGGGAGCCUGGUCUUUUGCUUGGACAAAUGCAAGUGCACUUGGAGAUUAGGCUGAA